GGUUUAGGUAGUUUAAUAUUUAGAACAGGGGAUUUGUAGCCCUCAGGAGUUGAUUUUUGACCCAAACCU
rnacentral:tRNA from 1 species